rnacentral:tRNA from 1 species
CCUGGUGUCUCAGGCAGUAAAGAAUCUGCCUGCAGUGCAGAAGAUCCAGGUUCAAUCCCUGGGUCAGGA